rnacentral:rRNA from 1 species
AAUCAACGCUGGCGGCGUGCCUCAGACAUGCAAGUCGAACGCGAAAUCUCCCUUCGGGGAGAAAGUAGAGUGGCGCACGGGUGAGUAACACGUAGGUAAUCUGCCUUUGGGUGGGGAAUAACUCAGGGAAACUUGAGCUAAUACCGCAUAAUGCAGCGGCUCGACAUCGAGACAGUUGUUAAAGCGGGGGAUCGCAAGACCUCGCGCCUAAAGAGGAGCCUGCGGCAGAUUAGGUAGUUGGUGAGGUAAUGGCUCACCAAGCCUGCGAUCUGUAGCCGGCCUGAGAGGGCGGUCGGCCACACUGACACUGACAUACGGGUCAGACUCCUACGGGAGGCAGCAGUGGGGAAUAUUGGACAAUGGGCGCAAGCCUGAUCCAGCAAUGCCGCGUGAGUGAGGAAGGCCUUAGGGUUGUAAAGCUCUUUCACCCGCGACGAUGAUGACGGUAGCGGGAGAAG